CAGACAGCACCAGCCAGCUUGUCCUUGGAAACGGAGAAUAGACCCACCUCCUUAUGUCCUCCAGGCAGCAAGAUUUCAGACACUCGUCCACCAGCAAAACGAGUCUGGGCAACUGAUGAUUUCCACACGGCAUCAAAUUCUCCACCUAAAAAGCUUUUCCACAACAUAAAUGAACAACUACUGACAGAGGAGCUACAGAGAAACACAGUUCAGCACUUCUGGUGUGUCAGUGCAACUCAUUGUCAAAGUGAUGAAAGGUACACAGAAUUCUCUCGAAAUCAUCAGUGUACAUGUAAUGCCCUCACAUUCCUGGCCUACCUUAAUGAGGAACACCAGUUCAACACAGCCCGACUUGAUAAGGUGCUUGAACAGGGAGAUGCACUCUACUGUUGGAUUAAAACAAAUCUUCAGCAGGAGAGGCGUUAUACACAAGAUCAUCUGACCAUGGAGGACCUGCCCAAAGAAGUUCAUGCUGACAUAAAUGUCUACAGUGUGAAAAUGGACAACAUAAGUUUUCCGUGACAAAUCUGGGAGGUAUGGAUUAUUUGAUUCACAUUCAAGAAGUGCAGCAGGUUUACCCCAGCCAAAUGGAACAGCAGUCAUGCUCACUUUCACUCAUGUGAAUGACCUGAUCAACCACCUGCAUAACCUUUUUCAAAAUCAAGGCAGGUAUGCAAGAUAUGAGUUUGUGCCUGUCUCUUUCAAAAGAGUCAGCACUCACAAUGAACAGCCUGCACAGUCAACUCGGGCAACAGGAGCAACAGCUACAUGUAACGCAAAGUUAUUUAAGGGCUAGUGUUAUUGCAAUGGACGAGUUUAUUGACUGACGCGCAGAAGAAAUGGUUCUUUAUGGAGCCUAGAUGGUGUGAAUGAUGAAACCAAAGACUGUAGUAUCUUGUACCAAAAAUAUAUUGAAUAAAUGGGGGAAAGGGGAAAUGGACCAAAAUAAUCAAUACAACACACAACAUAAAUAAAUGCCCACAAUCAAAUAAUUGUGUAACAAAUAAUAAAUCAAUUGCUGUGAUUUUCUGUGCAAGAGUCCUUUUGUUAAGAGUCCUUUUCGGUUUCUUUUUAAAGUUCA
ensembl:lncRNA